AUUAAUUCGUCAAUCGGGGUAAAAUAAUUUGUUUUGCGAUAUAACUGUGAAAUGACAAACUCAUGGUAGUAACAUAACAAAUUGAUCGAGCACUAUUACAAAGUUUCAACUGGUGUUGACAAAAACAAACUUGCGCAUGACUGAUUUAUUUGCGUGACGACUCUUCACAACCGUAUUUGACAAAUCCUCUUCGCGGUCAAUGUAGAAAUGACGAGUUUAAGUCGGCCAUAACGAAUUAUAUUACAAAUUAUUUGCUGAAAAACAAAUCAAUUUGUUGAGGCAAAAUGCAUGACAAAUUUAGCUCCUGAAGACAGUUCGGGACACCCCGCACAUAAUCAGCGUCUUCGAAUCACUCGCCGGUCGCCGUGAUUUUGCUGCGAAGCAAGGCUUGGGUAGAUCGUAAAAGUUUCUUGCAGAGUUUCGCAGGAUUCAUGGUGAGGACCUAAUCACACUGUUCAACCAAGGACUACAAAGACUGGCAGAACCCCUUUCUAGACUUCACAAAGAUAGAUGCAAAUGAGCCAAGAAAGAUGUGACAGUUUACUUCCCGGAAGCUAAGAAGAAAUUGCCAUACAGAUUCUACCAACCUUUUUCAAGGAAGACCUGGUGAUAUAUUCAUCUCAAGUGACAAGGUUGAUACGAAGCCCAUGUACAUACGUGUAUCCUGCAAUCAAGAGGAAUCAUAUGAGCUUGUUCUGGAGGAGCAAAGAGUCUGUCAAGUCCAGGAUAAAGUGCAUGCAUUGGCUUGUUAAGUAGCUGGUUUUUAUUUUUCAUUCAGCCUAUGGCUGUGAGCCAUCAGUCAUGAAAAUUUGUGAGUUGCCAACUU